rnacentral:ncRNA from 1 species
UCGGCAAGAUCGUCAUCACUAGACACAUCAAUGGCUUUGUUCUCAUUCCUUAGAACAGCAGCGGGGGUCAGUGCUUGACCGGGCGACUGUUUACCAGAAACACAGGUCUCCGCAAAGUCAUAAGACCAUGUAUGGGGGCUGACGCCUGCCUAGUGCCGGAAGGUCAAGGAAGUUGGUGAACUGAUGACAGGGCAGCCGGCGACCGAAGCCCCGGUGAACGGCGGCCGUAACUAUAACGGUCCUAAGGUAGCGAAAUUCCUUGUCGGGUAAGUUCCGACCCGCACGAAAGGCGUAACAAUAUGGGCACUG